AUCUCCCCAGGGAUCCUCCCUCUGAUUCCCUGACCCCGGGUCUCCUCUCCCUUCGUAAACCCAGGUGCUCUCAGAUUAGGGGACCAGGGCUGCCAGAAUCUUCUGGGAGGAACAUGGAGUGGGACCUGGUAAACAAUGGUGACUUUGUGUUUUGCUCUCUACCGAGCUGCCCGUGGGCACGCGGGGCUGACCCAGUCUCUGGCCUUCCUCUCCUUGUCCCUGGGAGAGGGUGUGUCCAACACCUGCAGGGCCAAGGAAAGCGUCAACGAUUACUUGAGCUGGUAUCAGCAGAAAACAGGCCAGGCUCCUCAGCAUCUCAUCUAUGAUGCUGAUAACCUCAAGUCUGUUAUCCCAGACUGGUUCUCUGCCAUUCAGUCGGACAGAGAAUUCAUCCUCAAAAUCAGCACGGUAGAGGCUGAGGAUGCUGCUAGUUAUUACUGCCAGCAGGAUUAUAUCCUUCCUCCCAGGGUGCUACAGCCCCAACCUCCGGGCUGGGUCUGGACGGCAAAGGGAGCAGUGGGCUGUGCUGGCGGUGGUUCCGGCAGCUGCAUUUUGCUCUGUGGUCUGUUCAUCCGAGCAGGAGAUGCUUUGGGGAAGGGCUAGCAGGGCUCAAGGAUCAAGGGACUUUGUCCUUCGAAAGCUUCCUUUCUUGAUAACACAAAUCCCAAACCUCAGGAAUUCUAAAAUGAAAUUUCUCUUGCAGGCCUGCAACAGAAUUCAUCCACAGGAUGGACCUUGAACCAUAUCUCUGAUAAACGCUCUGUGAAGUAGGCAAAAAAAGGGAACCCGCAUCCAAGCAAACACUACUACUACUACUAAUACUGCUACGACCAAUACUAGUAUUGCAAAUACUAGUACGACAAAUGUUAAUACUAAUACUUCAGGCACUACUACUGUAAUGCUACUACCACUAAUAAAAAUAAUAAACAUCAACAACUACAAUGCCCACUGCCAUUGAGUGAAAUCUUGAGGACUUACUAUGUAUUGAAUAUUGCAUGAAGGACUCAUUCAUCUAGUGCAAUUCAUCUCGCAAUAAUCGUCUAGAGAUGAGAAAUCAGGGGUUCUCAGAGUUUACGUUACUCAACAUACCAGUGGUUGUAAAGGAAGUAGAUGGAAAAAGUAUCGGUUGUUUUGUCUCCAUAAUUUCUACUCAUUAUUUAACUACAUUCAUUAAAAAAAAAAAAUAGUACAACUAAACACAGAUCAAGGCAGAGACUGUCUCUAGCAUCCCAAAAGCUCCAUCAGGCUCCUUUCCUGUCAAUUCCAUGCC